rfam:Fomitopsis pinicola FP-58527 SS1 unplaced genomic scaffold FOMPIscaffold_94, whole genome shotgun sequence.
CCUUCGAUAGCUCAGUUGGAAGAGCGUGAGACUGUAAUGGAUACCAAAUCAUCUCAAGGUCACUGGUUCGAUCCCGGUUCGAAGGA